rnacentral:rRNA from 1 species
CCUACGGGUGGCAGCAGUGAGGAAUAUUGGUCAAUGGGCGGAAGCCUGAACCAGCCAAGUAGCGUGCAGGAUGACGGCCCUACGGGUUGUAAACUGCUUUUAUACGGGAAUAACGCGCCUUACGUGUAGGGCUUUCCAUGUACCGUAUGAAUAAGGACCGGCUAAUUCCGUGCCAGCAGCCGCGGUAAUACGGGGGAUUCGAGCGUUAUCCGGUUUUAUGGGGUUUAAAGGGUGCGCAGGAGGAAGAUAAAGUCAGUGGUAAAAUUGAGAGGCUAAACCUCUUCGAGCCGUUGAAAGUGGUGUUCUUGAGUGAGUGAGAAGUAUGCGGAAUGCGUGGUGUAGCGGUGAAAUGCAUAGAUAUCACGCAGAACUCCGAUUGCGAAGGCAGCACACCGGCGCUCAACUGACGCUCAUGCACGAAAGUGUGGGUAUCGAACAGGAUUAGAUACCCGGGUAGUC